GACGAACGCUGGCGGCGUGCCUAAUACAUGCAAGUUGAGCGAUGAAGAUUGGUGCUUGCACCAAUUUGAAGAGCAGCGAACGGGUGAGUAACGCGUGGGGAAUCUGCCUUUGAGCGGGGGACAACAUUUGGAAACGAAUGCUAAUACCGCAUAACAACUUUAAACAUAAGUUUUAAGUUUGAAAGAUGCAAUUGCAUCACUCAAAGAUGAUCCCGCGUUGUAUUAGCUAGUUGGUGAGGUAAAGGCUCACCAAGGCGAUGAUACAUAGCCGACCUGAGAGGGUGAGCGGCCACAUUGGGACUGAGACACGGCCCAAACGCCUACGGGAGGCAGCAGUAGGGAAUCGUCGGCAAUGGACGAAAGUCUGACCGAGCAACGCCGCGUGAGUGAAGAAGGUUGUCGGAUCGUAAAACUCUGUUGGUAGAGAAGAACGUUGGUGAGAGUGGAAAGCUCAUCAAGUGACGGUAACUACUCAGAAAGGGACGGCUAACUACGUG
rnacentral:rRNA from 1 species